rnacentral:rRNA from 1 species
UCGGGAAUUUUGGGCAAUGGGCGAAAGCCUGACCCAGCAACGCCGCGUGAAGGAUGAAGUAUUUCGGUAUGUAAACUUCGAAAGAAUAGGAAGAAUAAAUGACGGUACUAUUUAUAAGGUCCGGCUAACUACGUGCCAGCAGCCGCGGUAAUACGUAGGGACCAAGCGUUGUUCGGAUUUACUGGGCGUAAAGGGCGCGUAGGCGGCAAUUCAAGUCAUCUGUGAAAUCUCCGGGCUUAACUCGGAACGGUCAGAUGAUACUGCUUUGCUAGAGUGCAGAAGGGGCAAUCGGAAUUCUUGGUGUAGCGGUGAAAUGCGUAGAUAUCAAGAGGAACACCUGAGGUGAAGACGGGUUGCUGGGCUGACACUGACGCUGAGGCGCGAAAGCCAGGGGAGCAAACGGGAUUAGAUACCCACGUAGUCCCUGAGCGGGCUGGCAAGGCGCAU